CAAUGUACUACGUAAAAUUCGUAAAAAAAAACUAACAAAUAUAUUUCGGAGGGGAGAGGUCAUUAACCCCCAAACCCUCCCUUCCUCCCAAGUUUUUGAAAUUUUAGAUUCCGAGAGUAGGCCCGCGAACCGUGUAACGUCCGUCAGAGGACUCGGCGGAACCCGAAACAAACUCGAUUAACGAUCAUUCUGCGUUACGUCAAAUUCCCCUUUAUGUCCUAUCUUCUCAAACUUCUCAUCGACAACAGUGGCCAACCAUCUUGUGAAGUAUUUCCGUUUUUCGG